rnacentral:sRNA from 1 species
GUGCCAGGCUAAGAGUCCUGAAAUCCUAUUUAACUGCAGAACAGGUACAGCACAGACAGCAGCAAUGUGAUUUCCUCACAUUGCCCUGCCAGUUUUUUCUUUCUGUUUUUCCAAAAAGCAAUAACUCUCACUACAUCUAGGAGAAUAGGAUAGCAGGAACUCAGGGCGCUUUCCAAUGUGCAUAAAUGCAUCU